rnacentral:rRNA from 1 species
GACAGAGGAGCCAAGCGUUGUCCGGACUGACUGGGCGUAAAGCGCCCGCAGGCGGCCGUGCACGUGGGGUGUGAAAGCUCGCGGCUUAACUGCGAGAGGCCAUCCCAUACGGCGCGGCUCGAGCCGUCCAGAGGCCGGUGGAAUUGCCGGUGUAGUGGUGAAAUGCGUAGAUAUUGGGAAGAACACCGAUGGCGAAGGCAGCCAUCUGGACCGAUACUGACGCUGAGGCGCGAAAGCGUGGGGAGCAAACAGG